rnacentral:misc_RNA from 1 species
GGUGUUCUUUCCAUUCGGCAUGCCUUUAGUUCGUGUACAUAUCGUAGGAGUAGGAGAAGUGGGAGAUUGAUUCGUUUAAGUAGAUUGGUAGGAUUCCAUAACCUAGCUAUAUCCCACCUUCCUUGACUGCUCUAGACUGCUUGGCUUGCUCUUGCUUGGCCCUGCCGGGGGACUGCUUUAUUAUAUUUUAGAGAAGAGAUUUACAGUCCGUUUAUAUCGUAGAGUGAUGUUCGAAAACACUGAUGCUUAGAUCGUUCCAACUAGGAUCUUAGUCCCGUAACCUCUUUAAAGCCCCAGCUCGAACCCUAUAGAUUCCGGGUACGGAUCUUGCCAUUUGGAAGAGCUGCUGAGGUUUGUCAAGUUACGAGGAAGUCGCUACCCUAGCCUUUACCAGCCAGGCAGAUUAGGCUGUAAACCAGCUAAGCC